rnacentral:rRNA from 1 species
AUUGAACGCUGGCGGCAUGCCUUACACAUGCAAGUCGAACGGCAGCAUGGAGAGCUUGCUCUCUGAUGGCGAGUGGCGAACGGGUGAGUAAUGCAUCGGAACGUACCGUGUAAUGGGGGAUAACGUAGCGAAAGUUACGCUAAUACCGCAUACGACCUGAGGGUGAAAGCAGGGGAUCGCAAGACCUUGCGUUAUACGAGCGGCCGAUGUCAGAUUAGCUAGUUGGUGAGGUAAAGGCUCACCAAGGCGACGAUCUGUAGCGGGUCUGAGAGGAUGAUCCGCCACACUGGGACUGAGACGCGGCCCAGGCUCCUACGGGAGUCAGCAGUGGGGAAUUUUGGACAAUGGGGGCAACCCUGGUCCAGCCAUGCCGCGUGAGUGAAGAAGGCCUUCGGGUUGUAAAGCUCUUUCGGCCGGGAAGAAAUCGCACAGGCUAAUACUCUGUGUGGAUGACGGUACCGGCAUAAGAAGCACCGGCUAACUACGUGCCAGCAGCCGCGGUAA